ACUCUUAGUGACCCCAUGGACUAUAGCCUACCAGGCUCCUCCGUCCAUGGGAUUUUCCAGGACUUCAACUUUGCAUCUCCAGGAGGAUGACUCCUAAGACCUUAUCUCCAGCUUGGUCAAUUGGCCAGUCCUGUAUUUGGAAUUGCUUGGCACAGGACCCCACAGGAUACCCCACUCUAAAGCUCUUCUUUUUCCCCUGCAACAAAAGCUAUCUCCCCCAAGGCCAUCAACUCCAGAUUUCAUCUCCUCCCUCACCUCCCUUCCUUGGUCUACAUCUUAUUCUUUCUUCCUUUUCUGUUCCUCUUCUCUUCAGGUAGCUCCAACUCCUGUAAUCUCUCUGAGGAUAGCGAUAGGGGCUUCCUGCUUGGGCUCACUGCUCCCUGGGUGUGGGCCUUCCACUCACCAACAUUUGUGACCCAAAUUUCCUGUAACUCAAGAGUGCUCUCUGGGCUUCCCUGGUGGUCCAGUGGUUAAGAAUCCACCUUGAAACCCUGGGGACACAGGUUUGAUCUCUGGCCUGGGAAGAUCUCAUGUACCACGGGGCAACCGAUCCUGUGCGCCACAACUAAUGAGCCUGUGCUCUGGAGGUCACAAGCCCCAGUGCUGAGCCUACGUGCCACAGAUACCGAAGCCUGAGAGCUCUAGAGCCUGCGUUCUGCAACAAGAGAAGACACCACAAUGAGAAGCCCUUGAAGCACAACUACAGUGGCCCCCACUUGCUGUAAUUGGAGAAAGCCCGCCUGCAGCAAAGCCAAAGAUAAAUAAAUUGAAAAAAAAAAAAAAAAA